GGCAUCUGCGUUAGCCGUUUCGCUGUGACAGGGUCUGACUUUUUCUCAAAUCUGACAUCGGGGAGAAGCCCGCCGAGCCCCUGAGCAGAGAACUGCAGUCCCCGCAGGGGCAUAGAAUGUGGUUUCGUCUCUGACAGGACUAUUUCUUGAAAAUAUUAUCCUUUCUCUACUGGAUUGCCUUGACGCUUCUGUCCAAAGUCCAUCCUCCGUGUAGUUCUGAGUAUAUUCUGAACCCUCCGUUCUGUCCAUUGAUCUCUAUCUUUCUGCAAGAGCACAAGGCCCGGAUGAUGGCUGUUUUCACGGUGCGGGUGUUGCACAUCUUUGGUCAAACGUGUCCCCAAGUACGGCUCUUUCUACAAAGACCUACAAAUGGCCAACAAGCAAAUGGAAAGAGGCUCAACAUCCUUAGUCAUUAGGGAAAUGCAAAUUAAAAUUCCACUGAGACGCUACUUCACACCCACUAGGAGGACCAUCAUUUAAAAACAGGCAGAUAACACGUAUCGGAGAGAAUGUGGAAAAGUCAGGGGCAUCAUACAUCACUAGUGCGAAAGAUACUGGUGCGGCCUCCGUGUGGAACAGUGUGGCGCGUCCUCAGUAUGUUAAACAGAGGAUAACCAUGGGACCCAGGAAUUCCACUCCUAGAUAUGGGUCCCAAAACUUGAAAGCAGGUGUUCAAACAAAACUUGUUCAUGAAUGUUUACCGUAACAGCACUAUUCAUAAGAUCCAAAAGGUAGAAACCACCCAAAUGUCCAUCAACGUGUGAAUGGCUGAACAAAAGUGGUCUAUCCAGAUGAUGGAAUAGAAUUCACCCAACAAGGAACAAAGUACUGACACAGGCAACAAUCUCUCCGAACCUCCAAAACCUUUUGCUAAAUUAAAGAAACCGGACAUGAAAGGUCACAUAUUGUAUGAUUCCGUUUUUAUGA